AUAGGGAAUAUGCCCGGCCAAGAAUAGUGCGCCACCCAGACUGGAGUGUCUACCCCGGUGAGGGGAACGGUAACGAGCAUCGAGGUGUCAGGUGAAAGGUAGAGAAAAAAAGAGCUACCAGGGGUGGAACUGGCAUAGCUGAUAAGAACAUGAGGGUGAAUGUACCAAUAUAAAGGGUGCGACCAAGGGCCUCUUAAAAAGCUAGUAGGGAGGGAUGGUUCCGGGCCAUCGAGAUGACCUUGAGAGUGUAACCAGUGGCCUCUUAAAAGGCAUAUUGGGAGGAGUUACGAUCUAUGUCCGUGAAACGCAGGACUGUGUAUCUAUGAAGGAAGGAUAGAGGAUUUUACGUGCUGGGCUAAGGCAUGGGACCCCACUUGGAGCGGGAUAUUCAUGGUUACCAAGAGUAGGUAUCCUUACAUAUGAAUGGAACGUUAAAAAAUGAGGUGGAACAGGUCUGUCCAUUAGGCAAAUUGACUCAACAGAUAAUUAUCAGAGGCUACGAGCUUAUAU